rnacentral:rRNA from 1 species
UACGAAGGGGCCUAGCGUUGUUCGGAUUUACUGGGCGUAAAGCGCGCGUAGGCGGAUCGCUAAGUCAGGGGUGAAAUCCCAGGGCUCAACCCUGGAACUGCCUUUGAUACUGACGAUCUGGAGAUCGGGAGAGGUUGGUGGAAUUCCGAGUGUAGAGGUGAAAUUCGUAGAUAUUCGGAGGAACACCAGAAGCGAAGGCGGCCAACUGGCCCGAUACUGACGCUGAGGCGCGAAAGCGUGGGGAGCAAACAGG